rnacentral:lncRNA from 1 species
CCGUGCCCAGCCUGGUUUUACAUCUUACACAUGAGUUUGGAAUUAUUUACCUAAGAAAAUAAGGUACAUCAUGAGGAGAGAAAAGCCAGCUAUGUGACGACGAACGGAAUAUCCAAUCGGAAUAGCUACUGGGAAGCAGCUCAUGCCACCAGAGGAGGAGUGGCCAGAGUUGUUAGAAGGACUGAAUGAGAUGAAGUAGAGGAAAGUCUUCUAGGACAGGGGUCCUCAACCCUUGGGCCACAGACUGGUGGCAGGAGGGCUGCACAGCAGGUGAGCAGUGGGUGAGUGAGCAAAGCUUCCUCUGUUCACAGCCUCUCACCGUCACUCACACUACCACCUGAGCUCUGCCUCCUGUCAGAUCAGCAGCAGCAUUAGAUUCUCACGUGAGUGUGAACCCUAUUGUGAACUGCAUAUGCGAGGGAUCUAGGUUGCAUGUUCCUUAUGAGAAUCUAAUGCCUGAUGAUCUGUCAUUGUCUCCCAUCACCCCCAGAUGGGAUGCCUGGUUGCAAGAAAACAAGCUCAGGGCUCCCACAGAUUCUACGUGAUGCAGUUUUCACAGAUUUGUGGCCAGAUGCUAGAGACAAAGGCUGAGAAGUUGUCCAGGACGUCAUAUUCUUGCUUUGCUGGAGGCAGAUCUGAAGGAUGUCAUCUCUCCUGUGGCUUCUUCUAGUGUGGGGUCCCGAAGCCUGGCUUCCCCAGCCGAUGUGCUGCUUUAGUCAGCGUCUGCCCUGGUCCUUCGGUUCGCAGGCUCACACGCUUUUUUGGGUUGUGUCCCUUUGGACUGCAGAGGCUACGUGUCCUGUGACCAACCACGAAGGCGGCCACUCCCGCUCCCCUCAGGAGUGUCUUAAAAUACCUCCAUUUUAGCUACCCUAUUGAAUGACAGGUUAGCUGGGUGCUGGGUUUUCAGGUGAUGGACAUUUUCCCUCAGUCCUCUGAAGGUGUUGCUGGCUUCAGGCAUUGAUGCCGCCACUCUGAUUGUUGUAUGCAGUGAGCAAACUAGAAUUUUCUCUUGGCUUUCUAGAUUUUCUUCUUUAUAUUCUGAAACUUUAUUAUAUCAAGGUUUGAAUUUUAUUUUUUUUGGAGACAGGGUCCUACUCUGUCAUCCAGGCUGGAGUGCAAUGGUGCAGUCCUGCUCACUGCAGCCUCCAAGUCCAGGGCUGAAGCGAUCCUUCUGCCUCAGCCUCCUAAGUAGCUGGGAUCACAGGUGUGCACCACUCUGCCUAACAAGGCUUGUUUUUUGUUUGUUUGUUUGUUUUAAAUAAAUACAUUCAGAUUGUUUUGCCCCUUGAUGAGUUUUUCAGUCUGCAUAGUCCUGUCAUUUUUUCACUUCUGGAAAAUUCUUAGUCAUGAUUUCUGCAAAUAUUUCCUCUCAUUCUGUUUUUUCCUUCUGGAACUCUUUCAUUACCUUUUUGUAGUCAUCUCUUUAUUUCCCUAUACUGCAUUUUUUAAUGGUUUCUUCUGUUCUGUUUUUACAAAUUCUAUCUAUCUUCACAUGGAUUUAGUCUAUUUUUUACUUUUACUCAUUAAUUUAAAAAUACAUUUAACUCCAUUUUCACUAAUGAGGGUGUAUGUGCAUUUAGUUUUUACUUUUAAAGAAGCAGGGUCUUGCUCUGCUGUUGAGGCUGGUAUUGAACUCCUGGGGCUCAAGCAGUGCAAGGAGCUGAGACUACAGGCAUGCGCUACCAC